rnacentral:rRNA from 1 species
GAUGAACGCUAGCUGGAGGCUUAAUACAUGCAAGUCGAGCGGGAUUGGGUAGCAAUACCCAUGAGAGCGGCGCACGGGUGAGUAACGCGUACACGACCUACCUCUAACAGGGGGAUAGCCCUGGGAAAAUGGGAUUAAUACCGCAUAUAAUUCCGAAUCAUAAAGGUUUGGAAUGAAAGCUGAGGCGGUUAGAGAUGGGUGUGCGUCUGAUUAGCUAGUUGGUAGGGUAACGGCCUACCAAGGCGAUGAUCAGUAGGGGGCGUGAGAGCGUGGUCCCCCACACGGGUACUGAGACACGGACCCGACUCCUACGGGAGGCAGCAGUAAGGAAUAUUGGUCAAUGGGCGAAAGCCUGAACCAGCCAUCCAGCGUGCAGGAAGAAGGCCCUAUGGGUUGUAAACUGCUUUUAUCAGGGAAGAAACCUCUGGAUUUACUCCGGAGCUGACGGUACCUGAAGAAUAAGCACCGGCUAACUCCGUGCCAGCAGCCGCAGUAACAC